AGCCAGAGGAAAAUACAGAGCGUAGGGGUUGGUAAUCUUCUCUAGUUGCGCAGUGAUUGGCUCAGUGUUCUGUCACUCAUGGGGACACUAUGUCCCCGCAAAAUAUAUAGGGAGAGCUAGGAAAGUUCAAGCCCCCUUGGGUGCUGCCAUAGAUUUACAUUAGAAGUGCCCAUCCUAGAACACUCAAAGUCAUAGGUCACAGAUAGAAUGACGUCAAAUCUCGUUAUAUCUACCAUAGCUUUGAUUGUACUGUUUUUUUUCACACACUCAAAAAAUUUGAGGUUCAACAAGGGUUCUUCUAAGAUCCUCAAAGUUCUUUGAAGAACCUUAGGGUAUUUGGAACUGGAAGAUGCCCCCAAAAGGUACUUCUAAUAACCCCAUAGAGGGUAGGGUUCAUCGAGGAACCUCCUUAGUUCUUCAGGGUUCUUGCAGGAACCUAACUUUGAAUUUGAAAAAACAGCAGGUGCAGGCACUCCAUUUAAGGUAUACUGACGAGGAGGCACACAAAGGACUCAGUCACAGCAGCCAUCUUCCUCCUCUCUGACCUCUUCAAUGAGGAUCCCAGAGAUCUCUACAUUAUGGACAAGACACCGCUGAUGAAUAUAACUGGAAACCUUUUCGAUCACCAUGUAGUGUAAAAUCCUUCUGGCUAUGGAUACGAAGCAUAUCAACACAUUAACACGCCAGAGGAUAUACAGCUCUGCUGGGAGUUUACCUCAUAUUUAGAUUGUAGAAUUGCCCCAAAAUCACAAUAAACAUUGACAA